CCUUUGCCCAUUUCAUUUUUGUCUCUUCCUCCAUCUUCCUGCCUGGAACACAGAUGUGAUGGCCAGAGUUGCAGCCACUAGACUAGACCAUGAAGACAGAGGCCAGGCCCUGGAAUGAAGAGCAGGAAUGAAGAGCAGUAAAGAGCCUGGGUCCCUGAGGAGCUCAUGGAGCAGCAUUGCCACCCUACCUCCAGCAGUCAUUUAUAUCCUCUUUCAGGAAUGAAAGAUUGAUUAAUUCUCCCAGCUUCCAGAAGUGCUGCCAGAAGAUGGCCUUCUUUAGGGACUGCCUUGCUCAAGGUCACACCUUCUUCCAAAGGUA
rnacentral:lncRNA from 1 species